GCUUUUAAGUAUUUUCUGUAGAAUUAUACAUCCACUCUUAUCCGUGCUUUUAUUAUUUUUGCUCAAGGCAAGAGACAAGUCUCGAGAACGCUCUGCCUGAUAGCUUCUUCGCUUCUCCAUCGAAGACCGGUGAAACCCAAGACCCCGAGUUUGAGAAAGAAAAUUGUGCUACUCUCUCUGUUACUACAGAAAAUAAGGCAGCAUCCUCACUUCAAUCAGCCUAGCAAUUGGUUCUAUAGAAGCAGAAAGAAAGCGUGAAAAGAAAAGUAGAGACUGAUAAAAGCAGGAAGUAGAAGAAUUUUGUUUAUAUGUAGAAGGUAAAGCCGGUUUUAUAACAUGGAACAGAAAGAAGGGUAAAGAGACAAGUUUGGAUAUUACAUAUCUCCAAAAAGGCAGUUGUGGGAUGCCAAUCUGCAAUAGAAAUUACAGCUAAGUACUAACCUCGACAAAGCAUUGAUAGGCAGGACAAUAUAGUGACUGAAACCUUCAAGUUUUAAGUUUUCGUCUGUUCAUCGGUAAUUGUUACCUUCUUAUCGGGUCAUAAACCCUGGUUCUGGACAAAGCUACUUCAUUUGUCAAUAUAGAUGAAUGUCUAUUUAGUCUUGUUCAUUUUCAACUAUAUAUUUAUAUUACAUGGGAGAUCCAAAGCAAGAAUGAUCCUUUUUCUUCUCUGAUACAACUAUAUAUUCUAAUUCACCAAUCCCGCCUCAAGAAUGAAAGCAAAUGGAUUCUUAUACGAACUUCUUACCAAGUCGGAUA